UACGAAGGGGGCGAGCGUUGUUCGGAAUUACUGGGCGUAAAGGGCGCGUAGGCGGCGACCCAAGUCAGAUGUGAAAGUCCUGGGCUUAACCUGGGGACUGCAUUUGAUACUGGAUGGCUGGAGUUUGGGAGAGGGAUGCGGAAUUCCAGGUGUAGCGGUGAAAUGCGUAGAUAUCUGGAGGAACACCGGUGGCGAAGGCGGCAUCCUGGACCAACACUGACGCUGAGGAGCGAAAGCCAGGGGAGCAAACGGG
rnacentral:rRNA from 1 species